rnacentral:lncRNA from 1 species
CUUGCCAACACCUUGAUUUGGGACUUCUGCUCUCCAGAACUACGCGAGAGAAUCAGUUGCUGUUGUUAGAGAGAAAGCACAAGCACGGGGAGCGGCAGGCACAGGGAGAGGGAGAAGCAGCUCUCACUGAGCAGGGAGCUUGACACAGGACUCGAUCCCAGGACCCUGGCACCAUGACCUGAGCUGAAGGCAGAUGCUUAACCGACUGAAGCACCCAGGCGCCUGCUGUAUGUAUUUU